rnacentral:rRNA from 1 species
CAAAGGUGAGCCAGUACAGGAUGGAGGGCGGUCUGAUUAGCUAGUUGGUAAGGUAACGGCUUACCAAGGCGACGAUCAGUAGCCGACCUGAGAGGGUGAUCGGCCACAUUGGAACUGAGACACGGUCCAAACUCCUACGGGAGGCAGCAGUGGGGAAUAUUGCACAAUGGGCGAAAGCCUGAUGCAGCAACGCCGCGUGAGUGAUGAAGGCCUUCGGGUCGUAAAACUCUGUCCUCAAGGAAGAUAAUGACGGUACUUGAGGAGGAAGCCCCGGCUAACUACGUGCCAGCAGCCGCGGUAAUACGUAGGGGGCUAGCGUUAUCCGGAUUUACUGGGCGUAAAGGGUGCGUAGGCGGUCUUUCAAGUCAGGAGUGAAAGGCUACGGCUCAACCGUAGUAAGCUCUUGAAACUGGGAGACUUGAGUGCAGGAGAGGAGAGUGGAAUUCCUAGUGUAGCGGUGAAAUGCGUAGAUAUUAGGAGGAACACCAGUUGCGAAGGCGGCUCUCUGGACUGUAACUGACGCUGAGGCACGAAAGCGUGGGGAGCAAACAGGAUUAGAUACCCUGGUAGUCCACGCUGUA